GCAAAUACAAGUUAUUUUAUAAAAGGUCGUGUAUAAAAAUAGGUUUUUUAUUUUAAUAAUAUAAUACAGGCCUGGCUCAGGAACAACAGGAAAAUUACAUGAAUUAUGAUAAUUUAAAUAUAAAAAUAAUAUAGAAAAUGGUGUUACAAAAAUAAACGGGAUUAACUCAAUAGGUAUAGGUGCAAUAGAAAAAUUAAGUGCUUGGAAACUAAGCUCCCUUUAAAGGGAGAAAUUGAGAUCAGUAUUUUCAAUACGCAUACGACGAAUGACUGGAGAGUUAAGAAAGUAGUUAGACGAUAAGAAUGGGAUAUGAAACGGGACAGAUGACCGUGUAAAACGAGAGAGAAUUUUAAAAAAGAUUAAACAAUAUAUUCAGGGCUUUUAAUUGUGGAGGAAAGUAGGUUGAGUAAGAAUGAUAAGUUUACCACUUGAAUUCGGAGUUUCUAUCCCUGUUGUAUUUUUUUGGCUUGACCUUAGUUUUUUCCAGUCUAUCUUCAGGUCGUAGACUUCUCUGCGUCCCUUUUAAUGCACUCUCCAUUUCUUUUUGGUUUUGGCUACUAAAGCAACAACGUUUGCAAAUCUGAGCAUUUGUAUAAAUUCUCCUCCUACCAUCACUCCUAUAUUUUGACUGCUGAGCUUUUUAUUUAUUUCUUGUAUUAGUUGUUCGACAUAUAUGCUAAAAAACAUUGAUGACAUGGGCCACUCUUGUCUUUCCGUAUUUUUGUUGUUGUUGAUUUAUCUUCUAUUCUUAUUUCAGCCGUCUGGUGUCUAUACAAAUUGUUUAUUAACAGUCCAUCCUCGAAAUUCACUUCUAUUUGCUGUAGAAUUUGAAAUAAUUUUUGUUUUUUUUUUAAAUCAAAGAAUCACUUCUUUCAAAAUAGAAUUGUAAAUUAUUAUAAAUUAUUUAUUAUUAAUAUUGUAAAUUCCGAAAUGAAUAUUAAUACAGCAUUAACCUUUCUAUGAAAACACUUUAAUUUCAAUUUAUCAAUUAUUUUAAUGUAUAUGAUGUGUAUGAUUUUGUAUUUAUUCUUGGUUUAAAACUAACUAGUUGGCUUGCUUCAGGACCCUCCACAUAAUAUAUUGCAAGGCACUGAAAUCACUUGACUUUAUUAUGAGAACAGUGAAUUAUUUCAAAAAAGGAUCAUUCCUCAAGUUCUCCUAUACACCUUGAUUCGUAUACAAUCUUGGUUGUAUGGUACGGUCAUCAAGGAUACUCUCAAAAUUGGUAAACCUUUCCAAAUCGAACGGUUUUUAUGGGUUGUUGCGUCUUUACUCGGUAUUUCUUACACACAUCAUAAUUAUAAUCCAAUAUAUUCUGACCAGUUUUGAAUUGAUAUCCCUGGCUGAUCGCAUUUAGGAAGAACGUCAUUCACGAACACGUUCACAUUAGUAUUUAGUGAAGGUCACUCAUGAAAAUUAAAUUUAUUGUUAUUUAUUUUAGAUAAAAUAUAUUAAGGAGACGGGGUAAAAAUAAUAAUAAUAUUAUAACGUCCAAAGAUAAUUACAUAAUAAUUUAAAACAAAAGCAAAAUAAAACAGAAAUCAAAUUUACUUAAAAUCCUUCGAGAAAAUAGCUGGAUCGUGAUGAAAAACAUUGCAGUUAUAUACGGUAUACGAUAGGGGAAGGGUAACAAAAGAAUAGCGCAAGUAUAUAAUAUUAUGUUGUACAAAAAAACGCACGCCACUUUCGGAUCGUACAAUAAUUAUAAUAUAAUUAUUAAAUUUUAUUACUCACGAAUGC